CGCCUAGGGCGACACACGUGCUACAAUGGCAUAUACAAUGAGACGCAAUACCGCGAGGUGGAGCAAAUCUAUAAAAUAUGUCCCAGUUCGGAUUGUUCUCUGCAACUCGAGAGCAUGAAGCCGGAAUCGCUAGUAAUCGCAAAUCAGCCAUGUUGCGGUGAAUACGUUCCCGGGUCUUGUACUCACCGCCCGUCACACCAUGGGAGUUGAUUUCACUCGAAGUGGAAAUACUAAACUAGUUAUCCCCCACAGUGGAAUCAGCGACUGGGGUGAAGUCGUAACAAGGUAACCGUAGGAGAACCUGCGGUUGGAUCACCUCCUUUCUA
rnacentral:rRNA from 1 species